rnacentral:rRNA from 1 species
UAUGUGGUUUAAUUCGAUGCAACGCGAGAACCUACCUGGUCUUGACAUCCCGGAGACCCUUAGGAAACUAGGGGGUGCUUCCAUCUGGAAGAAUCUGGAGACAGGUGCUGCAUGGCUGUCGUCAGCUCGUGUCGUGAGAUGUUGGGUUAAGUCCCGCAACGAGCGCAACCCUUGCCUUUAGUUGCCAGCAGUUCGGCUGGGCACUCUAAAGGGACUGCCGGUGUUAAACCGGAGGAAGGUGGGGAUGACGUCAAGUCCUCAUGGCCUUUAUGACCAGGGCUACACACGUACUACAAUGGCCGAUACAAAGGGCAGCGACACUGCGAGGUGAAGCCAAUCCCGUAAAAUCGGUCUCAGUCCGGAUUGGAGUCUGCAACUCGACUCCAUGAAGUUGGAAUCGCUAGUAAUCGUGGAUCAGCAUGCCACGGUGAAUACGUUCCCGGGCCUU